rnacentral:rRNA from 1 species
UACGUAGGGUGCGAGCGUUAAUCGGAAUUACUGGGCGUAAAGCGUGCGCAGGCGGUUUUGUAAGACAGCUGUGAAAUCCCCCGGGCUCAACCUGGGAACUGCGGUUGUGACUGCAAGACUGGAGUGUGGCAGAGGGGGGUGGAAUUCCACGUGUAGCAGUGAAAUGCGUAGAGAUGUGGAGGAACACCGAUGGCGAAGGCAGCCCCCUGGGUCAACACUGACGCCUCAUGCACGAAAGCGUGGGGAGCAAACAGG